AAGGAGUGUGACCAAUCUGAAUUAUUGGAUUUGGGUCCAGAUUAUUAGCUGACUCUAUCUCCUUCCCAUUGUUGUCUUCUCGUGCGUUUGGUGAAGAGAGAACAAAUCUGAGUUAUUGGCCUUUGAAUCAGAAUUAAGCAACACACUUUCAUUCCCCUCAUCUCCUCUCCAACCUCACAACCGUAAGCUUUAUUAGAUGAACACCACAAACAAUGGUUACCUCCUCUUCUACCUUAUCUUCCCCACCAACCGUGAGUGCUCUAAGGAGGUAGCAAAACACCAAGCAUACUUAUCCUUCCUUCCUAGCUCAGCCGUGUAACCAUUAGCAAGGAGGUUGAAGCUCAACAUCCUUUUCCCUCUUCUUGUGCGCACAGCCCACUUCAAGUAGGAGAAGGUAAGGUAAUUUUUUCGCUGCCUUCUAGUUUCCCCUACUUGGAUCGAUUCUGAGUAAGUUUUUCCCCUUGUUGGAACAUGGUUAUGCCUUGAUGGAGUCGCACUUACCAUUGCAUGCGGCUGGUUUUGAUUGGAGAAUGAGAUUUGCUGUCUUCCACUUGUAUAGCUAACCCUUGGAUGCAGCUUAGAAGCCGCUGCAUGUGCUCAAUGAAAUUUGAUCGUGAAAUAUCGAUUGCUUGUUGAACGCUGUGAAUUGCGUGAAAGUAGGAUACUCCAAAUUCGGGAGUCCAGGAGUUGCGGGUUUUUUUUCUACCAAUUGGUGAUACUUUGUAAUCCAAUAAUUAGUAAUCCAAUAAUUACGGUGCGUAAGGUCCUAAAUAUUGGACUGUUUGAGGAUAUUUGGAAUGCUUGAUUAAAGAGCUAAAGUGUCAAGGGAGACGUAAAAUCGUUUGACGAAGUAUUUGAUUUGGACAUGUUCUGUUUAUUUGCUGCUGCUGUUUUGGGAAGUUUGAUGUGACAUGCUCUUUCUGUUGAUUGUUAGCUGAUCACUCUAGUAUGCUGUAAUACUUUGAGAUGCUGGAAGAAAAUGUUAGAACAUGCCUCAAUUUGUUAUAUUUGGAUUCUUAUGGUUAGUUUGUAAAUUGUAAGGUUCUGGUCAUAUUUCGCAAAAAUAUUUUAUGCACGUUUUGAAUUCUGUCUUUUAAACGGUUUUCGCGAGCACCUUGCGAGUUCCGUUUCUGGGGCUACAGACCUCCGAUUGGAGUAUAAUUUAUAUGCACUUAAAUCCCCAGAUGCCUAGUUUCAUAUUAUAUAAAUUUUGUUUCCACAGCAUGUAAGCACGGAUUUUUAUGAUUUUUGCAAGUCAGGUAGUUUU